ensembl:rRNA 5S_rRNA 5S ribosomal RNA
GUCUACAGCCAUACCACCCUGAAGACGCCCAAUCUCAUCUGAUCUCAGAAGCUAAGCGGGGUUGGGCUUGGUUAGUACUUAGGGGGAGAAAACAGGAAACUGGGGAGC